AGGAAUUCAAGCAAUGCUAAUCUGCAUACCAUGGUUGCCUCACUAGUGUCUUCCAUGGGGCAGAUUAAUGAGAGACUGGAAAGACUGGAAGCUCGUAGCGGUCCAGUUGUGAUACCAGAGCCACCCGCUAUCGAUAUCCCAGGGCCAUCACAAGCCCAACCUGGUAAUCCUAAUACCCCCACCAUCCUUGGGUCACAAGUGAUCA